rnacentral:rRNA from 1 species
GUUAAGCGACUAAGCGUACACGGUGGAUGCCCUGGCAGUCAGAGGCGAUGAAGGACGUGCUAAUCUGCGAUAAGCGUCGGUAAGGUGAUAUGAACCGUUAUAACCGGCGAUUUCCGAAUGGGGAAACCCAGUGUGUUUCGACACACUAUCAUUAACUGAAUCCAUAGGUUAAUGAGGCGAACCGGGGGAACUGAAACAUCUAAGUACCCCGAGGAAAAGAAAUCAACCGAGAUUCCCCCAGUAGCGGCGAGCGAACGGGGAGCAGCCCAGAGCCUGAAUCAGUGUGUGUGUUAGUGGAAGCGUCUGGAAAGGCGCGCGAUACAGGGUGACAGCCCCGUACACAAAAAUGCACAUGCUGUGAGCUCGAUGAGUAGGGCGGGACACGUGGUAUCCUGUCUGAAUAUGGGGGGACCAUCCUCCAAGGCUAAAUACUCCUGACUGACCGAUAGUGAACCAGUACCGUGAGGGAAAGGCGAAAAGAACCCCGGCGAGGGGAGUGAAAAAGAACCUGAAACCGUGUACGUACAAGCAGUGGGAGCACGCUUAGGCGUGUGACUGCGUACCUUUUGUAUAAUGGGUCAGCGACUUAUAUUCUGUAGCAAGGUUAACCG